AUCAUGUGAUGCCCUGUGCAGCCUUGCGGCUCUGCAGAGGCCCCAUCAGCAAGAAGCCUCUCACCAGAUGACUCUCCUCAACCAGCUUCUAGAACUGACUGCUUGGGAGUCCGUGGACACCUGGUUAAGGAUUCCUAUGGACAGAUCAAUUAACCCAAGGGCUCCAGGAGAUGCAGAUCAAAGACCGCCACACAAGAAAGAGGCCACACAGAUAAAGAGCCCAGGACCUGCUGUCAGACCUCCCCAGAUUCAGAUUCUUAGGCCUGCCCCUUAUAGGCUGUGUGACCUCGGACAAGUUCCUUAUUUACUCUGAGCCUGAGUGUCCUCGCUCGUAAAAUGGGUCUAACAACGACCACCUCCAAGAAAGAUCACGAUGCUGAAAUGACUCAGAACAGUGCCUGGAGUGGAAGAGCUGCUGGGAAAAUAAUAACUGCUAUUUCUACAUCAGUUAUGCCAGUUCUUUUUGACCUAAGAAACUCCAGCGCUUUUAAUACAAUCAAACUGGGUUAUUGGUGACUUACAGAGGAGACCCUAGGCAGGUAACUAUUGAACCUUGAAAACCGUAACAUGGACACAGAGUAGAGAGCCCAUUUAUCUCAACUGGAUUCUUCUCAGUGGACUUCGAGCUUCUUAUCAGAAAAACACUUUGAUGACAGCGCUUAGUGCUUAACAGCUUAAGAGCAGUUCAAACAUGCGCCAGAGGCUUGCUGAGGAGGCCCGCCCUCCAGAUUCUGCAAAUAGAUACACUGGGGUGAGCCUGCAGCCCAAUUUGCCCAGGACUGUCCUGGUUAAUGCUUGCGGUCCCCGUGUGAUUAUUAAUAGUAUCUGUUGUAUCCAUACGAGCGUCCCAAUUUAGAUGAUCCUAUAGAUGGUCACUGUUGAUAAGGACCAUGGCUGCCUUCUCCCUUAGCUGCCAAGCUGUGUAUAGGAUAUUGUUUCUCCUUGGCAGAAUUCAGAAAGUAAGUUUGGACCCUCUGGAAUUCUGGUCCUUUUCUUCUAGGUUUCAGGCAUCAUUAUUGCAUAGGAGCUUUGAAGUCCAAAGUAAUCUAGAGUUAGAAUGACCAGACAUCCUGGUUUCUUGGAUUUUAUUUUAAGUGGGAGGGGAGUUACUGAAGGGGUGAUUAUAUAUCAGUUCACUUAAUCCUUAUACUUAUAUAUUAAUAGCCCAGGCUUGGUGGCUCACACUUGUAACCCCAGGACUUUGGGAGGCUGAGGCAGAAGGAUCGCUGAGCUCAGGAGAUUGAGAUCAGCCUGGGCAACACAGUAAGAUCCCCAUGUCUACCAAAAAUUUAAAAACUUCAGCCAGGUGUGGAGGUACACACGUGUAGUCCCACCUACGCAGGAGGCUGAGGAGAAUCACUUGAGUCCAGCAGGUUGAGGCUCAAUGAGCCAUAAUCACACCACUGCCACUACACUCCAGCCUGGGCGACAGAGUGAGAACCUGUCUCAAAAUAAAAAUAAAAAUAUUAUCAUACUUAAUAAUAACGCUCUGGGGGUAAACAUUGUUAUUCCCAUUGAUGCAUGAGAAGAGUAAGGCCCAGAAAGAAAAAAUAACCUGUCCAGAGCCUCACAAAUGGUAAACAAUAGAGUCUGGACUUGAUUCCAGAUCACUUGACCAACUGCCCUGAUUUGCAGAUCCUCUGAGUUCAACCAAAGAAAUGAGCACAAAAAAAUCUCUCUGUGCCUGCAGGUGUGACAUUCUUAACCCUGUCUUUAAUACAACUGCCACAUCCCAGCGUUCCUUGACAGACUGUGGAGCACACCUAAGCCACCUUGCUUGCCAUAGGGUUUGGCUCCAUGACCUUGAUGUGAGUUCAUAGAUUUGUUUGCAGUUGUGAAAAUUAAAUGAGAGAGCGAGAUUUCAUUGUGUGUGUGGAGUGUGUGUGUGUGUGUUGGGGGAGGGAGGAGAACAAACGAUUUUAAAUUCAGCCUAAAAUUAAAUGCACAUUGGAUGCAUGCCAAACGGACUCCACAACCACCAGACUUUGCAAGUUUCAACGAUUUCCAAGUCCUUCCUUUGUUUUUUUUUCUUUUUUUGAGACGGAGUCUCACUGUGUCGCCAGGCUGGAGUGCAGUGGUGCGAUCUUGGCUCACUGCAAGCUCUGCCUCCCAGGUUCAAGCAAUUCUCCUGCCUCAGCCUCCUGAGUAGCUGGGAUUACAGGCACGCACUACCACGCCCAGCUAAUUUUUGUAUUUUUAGUAGAGAUGGGGUUUCACUAUGUUGGCCAGGAUGGUCGCAAUCUCCUGACCUCAUGAUCCGUCUGCCUUGGCCUCCCAAAGUGCUGGGAUUACAGGCAUGAGCCACUGUGCCCAGCCUGCAAGCCCUUCUUCUGCCGAGUGCUAUGCUAGUUUCUAGAAGAAGAGGGAUGUUACUCAUUCAUCUGCUAUGCAUGGUCCACUAUGUUCCAAGGUGGGAGACGUGUACAGAGGUGAGCACCUCCAGCCUUCAGGCCACUUAUAUUCCCAGGUGUAGGUGAUAGAUAGGCAAAUGCGUGCACUCUGGUUGUUGAAGAUGUAGAGCAAUUGGACUCCUCCUGCACCACUUGUGGUCAUGUAAAAUGGUAUGGCCACUUUGGAGAACAUUCUGGCAGUUCCCUGUUUGGUUAAAUAUAGAGUUACCAUAUCACCCAGCAAUUCCACUCCUAGGUAUUUUACCCAAGAGAAAUGAAAACACAUGUUCACACACAGACUUGCACAUGACUGUUUAUAGCAGCAAUAUUCACAAUAGACAGAAGGUGGAAACAACCCAAAUGUCCAUUACAGGAUGAAUGGAUAAACAAAAUGUAGCAUAUGCAUACAAUUGCUUAUCCAUAAAAAGAAAUGAGGUUCUGACACAUGCUGUAAUAUGGAUGAACCUUGAACAUUACAGUAAGCGAAAGAAGCCAGUCACAGAGACCAUAUAUUUUAUAAUUCCAUUUAUAUGAAAUGCCCAGAAUGGGUCAAUCAUUAGAGACAGAAAGUAGGUUAGUGCUUGUUCAGGGAUGGGAGGACAUGAAGGAAGAGGGUAAUAACGGAAGGGUUUGGGCUUUCUUGAAGUGAUGAAAAUGUUCUAAGGUCAAUGGUGGUGGUGGUUUUACAAUUCUGCGAAUGUACUAAAAACCAUUGGAUUGUACGGUUUAAAUAGAUGAAUGAAAUGAUAUGUGAAUUAUAUAUCCAAAAAUGCUGUUAAAAACAAAACAAGUAUAUCCCGGACCAUCAGAGAGAAAAUAGAGUAGGAGUGUCUAAAUCUUUUUGUGUUGCUGUAAAGGAACACCACAGGAUGGAUAAUUUACAAAGGGAAGAGUUGGGAGGCCAAGGUGGGAGGACCACUUGAACCCAGGGCUUUGAGACCAGCCUGGGUAGCAGAGCGAGACCCUAUCUCUGUAAAAAAUUUAAAAAUUAGCCAGGCGUGGUGGUGCAUGCCUGUGAUUUCAGCUGCUCGGAAGGCCGAGACAGGAGGAUUGCUUGAGCCCAGGAGGCCAAGGGUGCAGUGAGCCAUGAUCAUGCCACUUCACUCCAGCCUCAGUGACAGAGUGAUACCCUGUCUCAAAAAAAGAAAAGAAGCUUAUUGACCUAGGGUUCUGCAGGCUGUACAAGAAGCAUGGCACCAGUAUUUACAUCUGGUGAGGACCUCAGGUUGCUUCCACUCAUGGCGGAAGGGAAAGGGGAGCUGGUGGGUGCAGAGGUCACAUGACACAAGAGAAAGCAAGAGAGAUAGGAAGAGGUGCCAGGCUCUUUUAAGCAACCAGCUGUCAAGGGAACUAACAGAGUGAGAACACACUCACUAUAGCAAGGAUGGCACCAACACACUCAUUGGGGGUCCACCCCCAUGGCCCCAAUGCCUCCUGCUAGGCCCCACCUCCAACACUGGGGAUGAGAUUACAACAUGAGACUUGGAGGGGAGAACUAUCUAAACUGUAUCAAGGAACCUAGGCAUGGGGGCUCACGCCUGUAAUCGCAGCACUUUGGGAGGCCAAGGCAAGCUGAGGUCAGGAGUUCGAGACCAGCCUGGCCAACAUGGUGAAACCCCAUCUCUACUAAAAAUACAAAAAUUGGCUGGGUGUGAUGGAACACACCUGUAGUGCCAGCUGCUCGGGAGGCUGAGGUGGGAGGAUUGCUUGAACCCAGGAGGCAGAGGUUGCAGUGACCCCAGAUUGCACCACUGCACUCCAAUCUGAGGGAUACAGUGAGAUCCCAUCUCACUGUAUUUGUGUGUGUAUUUGACCUAAAAUGAGUUAAUAAGAGUUGGACUUGCUACAAAAGCACCACCAAUGUUUCCAAUUUUUCAGCCACGUUUUUUGUUAUUGUUUUUUGUUUGCUUGAGAUAGGUCUUGCUUUGUCAUCCAGGGUGGAGUGCAAUGGUGCAAUCUCGGCUCACUGCAGCCUUGACCCCCUGGGCUCAAGCAAUCCUCCCACUUCACCCUCCUGAGUAGCCGGGACUACAGGGGCAGGCCACUACACCCUUCAGCCACGUUUCCAAAGUGGGGAGGAUGGUUAGGAUGCCUGGGUUCUGCCACAGUUUGUGAUAAGGUCACUGAUGAGGUGAUCAAUUGAGUCAGGAAGGCCUGUGGGAUCAGUGAUACAGAGGAGGACUGUGGAGUUGAGAGUCCUCAGCUGGAGUUCUGGCUCCAAGAUUGCUGGACCCUGGGCUCACCCCAGCACUUAAGAGCUGGUUGUUAAGUUUUCAGGAAUUUCACAAGCUGGUUGUUAAACACAAUCUUUAAAAAAAUUAAAUUCUACAAACUAAAAUUUAUUUUAUUUUAUGUAUAUGUAUAUAAAAAGAGAGAGGACAGGGCUUCACUCUGCCACCCAGGCUGGUGCGCAAUGGCGCGACCAUGGCUCACUGCCUCCUGAUUCUCCCACCUCAGUCUCCCAAGUAGCUGGGACUACAGGCGCAUGCCACCACACCUGGCUAAUUUUUUGUAUUAUUUGAAGAAAUGAGGUUUCACUAGAUUGCCAGGGCUGGUCUCAAACUCCGGGAGUCAAGCAGUCCUCCCGCCUCAGCCUCCUAAAUUGUUGGGAGUAUAGGCAUGAGCCACUGCACCCGGCCCAAACUUAAAUUUAAAUAAAUGAUAUUAAAACCAAAGGAUGCGGGGCGCGGUGGCUCACGCCUGUAAUCCCAGCACUUUGGGAGACUGAGUGGGGUGGAUCACUUGAGGUCAGGAGUUCGAGACCAGCCUGGCCAACAUGGUAAAACCCCUGUCUCUACUAAAAAAUACAAAAAAUUAGCCGGGCAUGGUGGUAGAAGUCUGUAAUCCCAGCUACUCGGGAGGCUGAGGCAGGAGAAUCGCUUGAACCCGGGAGGCAGAAGUUGCAGUGAGCUGAGAUCACACCAUUGCACUCCAGCCUGGGCAACAAGAGCAAAACUCCAUCUCAAAAAUAAAUAAAAAAAUAAAAUUAAAAAUAAAACCAAAGGAUAUUCCAAGUGACAUAAUCUAGACACAGAAGGACAAAUACUGUACUACUCCGUUUAUAUGAGGUGGAUCUAUUUAAGUGAAGUCUUACAAUAAUCUAAAAUAGGCCAAUUCAUAAAGACAGAAAAUAGAAGAGAAAUUCCUAGGGGCUGGAAGGAGGGAAAAGGGAACAGGCAGUUAGUUUUUAACGAGUUGGUGUUUGGGAUGAUUUAAAAGAAAAUUUCUGAAAGCAGUGGUGAUGUUGAUGCAACAUUGUGACUAUACUUAAUGCCACUGAAUUACACACUAGUUAAAAUGGUAAAUGUCAUGCUUUGUACAUUUUAUCACACACACACACACAAAAAAUUUAGGCCGGGCACGGUGGCUCACACCUGUAAUCCCAGCACUUUGGGAGGCUGAGGCAGGCAGAUCACGAUGUCAGG
rnacentral:lncRNA from 1 species